CUCAUUUGUUAUACAAAGAUGUUAAAUAAUUUAAAUACAUUCUCCACAGUCACUCAAGAAUCAGAUUUAUACCUAAACAAAGCUGUACAUAUGAGGUAGAGAAAAAUAAUUUAGGCUCCCAUAAGACAUUAACCACCCCAAACCCGCCCCCUGGAAAAUAUAAUAAUACAUACUACAAAUCCUUCAUAUGUCAGAAUUUGCUCCUCACAACCCUUCCCAAAAGGAACUCAGUUUGCACAACAAGUCCCCGUUCAUGCUUCCUAGAUGAAAAAAAUGGAAUCAGAGACCAUUAAUGAGCUAAACAAUACUUUUUUUUUUUUUUACUAAAAAUCGAUGCACCCAAAACAGAAAUGGAGGAUGCUGAUCCAAUUCAGAUGGCAAUUUUAAAACUUAAUCAUUCAUACCCAAAGACUGGUUUUGUUUGUUUGUUUCAUAUUCAGGGAGAUCACCUCUCCGUGUCUUUCUCCAAAGCAAUAAAUAGAGGCUGAAAUGAUGAACCCUGAAAUUUAAGAAAAGUGCUGCUGAACACAUCUUCUGCAGAGUUCUCCACCUCCCCUCUUGCAUUGGCUUAGGUAAACAAGAAGCUCUCUUACGCAGACUCAAACCUUUAGCCCAUCUAGUACAGUGGUGUCUACACGGACUGGCAACAGCUCUAGAGCAUUUCAGGCAGAGAUCUUUCCCAAACCUACCCUGAGAUGCCAGAACCUGGGAGCUUAUGCAUACAAAGCAGACACUCUACCACACAGCUACAGCCUUUCGACAUCAUUUUAAGACUCCCCACCCCUACAAUCUCCACUCCAAAUUGUGACAUGCAAGCGAAAGAGAUCCUAGCGAUUUUUUUGGCAGGGAGAGAAAACCAGUUGACAUGGGGGUGCCAUUUUGGCUGUACUUUUAGCUUCAAAAGAGAAGCAUUGUACUUCCCCCUUUCCUCACACGUCUUGGAAGUAAGACCCUAACAGGGCCUCUAUUCAUAACCCUUUUUAUUACGGCACCUGACAUCAACUUAUUAUAUCCUGGGUCCAUCUCAAGGACAGCCACAUGGCUGCCUUUACCAUCUGAAAGGACAUUGACAACUUUCCAUGCACACUACCAAAUCCUCCACCUUCGGCCUAGCCUUCCCCAAGUUGGUGACCUCUAGCUGUUGAACUACAGCUCCCAUCGUACCUAACAAUGGGCAAAGCUUGCUAGGGUUGGUGGGAAUCGGAGCCUCAAUACCACCUAGAGGUCCGCAAGUCAAGGGCUGCCUCAGGCAGUCUUAGAAGACAGAACCUGGUGUGGUGUUUUGUGGGUUUGAAUGUAACACUGGAAAACCUACCACAAAAGCUGUCUCAGUUACACCAGCUUGGGGAAAGUAGUGUGUAACUAUAUUAUUGAAUAGUAAUUUAUAUAAAUAAUGGGUGCACCCCACUAGAGGAAGAAUGUCGGUAAGACAAGGUUGAUUGGGCAAGGAGAACCUAUUAUUAUUACUAUUAUUAUUAUUAUUAUUAUUAUACAUUUAUUUAUAGCCCGCCUUUUCCCCUGAUAGGACUCAAUGUGGUUUCCAUCAAGACUGAGAGAGAGGAAUAGGAAAUCAGUGAGAGGCAAGAUGGCCACCACAGCAGUCCAACUCAUGCACUAUCCACUGGUGCUGUGCUCAACCAAGUCUGCUUUGUGCGCAGAACAUUCCAGGUUCAAUUCCUAGCAUCUCCAAGAGGAGCUGAGAAUGUUCGCCUCACCUGAAACCUUAGAAAGGGGCCACUAGUUAGGAUAGACCAUGCUGAGCUAGAUGGACCAAUGUUAUGACUUGCUAUGUUAUGACUUGCCCAUGUUCCAGCCUUCUCUAGGUUGCCCCUAGCUGGCCCUGGGCUAGCACAGCUGUGGCAGGUUCUUCUCCAUUCUCUCCCCUUCCUUGAUUAGGUUUCAUGUGGAGUCAGAUUCACACUUUGCCUGGAAAAGACUGACAGUCAAAGUGUACUGUCGCUCCAUGUUUCACAAAGGAGCCAAUCCUUAUGAUUGUCACAAUAGAACCAGAUGCCUUAGAUUGAAGCAGCAAAAAGUGUUCUAGACCACCAGGAAAGUGUCUACCUUAAGGCAUAACCAAUGUGUUAAAACAACACAAGAUCAUUUUCAGCUUUGGGUCAAUGACCUACUUUUGGGCUACAAAUAGGAGCAGCCCACUGCUAGGUCAUGGAACAAAAAAACCCAUUAAGAGCAGAUAUUUCUUGGACCCAGUGAGAAUUUGGCAGAUGAUGAAAAACCCAACUCCAUGAACACCAUGAUCAUGACCCAGUACAAUUCAAUAGGGGAGCAACAGUCUCAACAUGCCCAUUUAAGUCAAUUGGUGACUGCAUGGACGGCCACAGGUUCUUUGCAACUUCAGUAGGUUCAACAAAACACAUCCUCCUGGGUUUGUUUCAUUUUGUCUUGCAAAAAGACACCCUAAUGCUGACUCUCCUGGCUUUCCACAAAACUGCCAUAAAUAUGCAGAAGACAGAUGGUCACAAGGGCAUUUGCUACAAGGCACCAUGGCUGAGCGAAACAUCCUCUGCAGUGUGUGCACCCAUAUUGCAUAUAUAUUACUACAAAAUAUCGUUGUGUGUAUAUUAGGAGCAUUUGCUAAACAUGUUAACUUAUGAAACAGCCGCAAGAGAUUAAGCAACAAAGAAGCAAAAUGGAAGGUGUAGAAUACAAGGGAUCUGCUGGCCCUCAGCUACUAGAGGACACUCUCAUUUAAACUUAAUGGAAUUUAAGGCCUCUCUUCACCCACCUGGUACCCUCCAGAUGUUGUUGGACUGCAACGCCCAGCUGUGACUGAUGUGAGCUACAGUCUAACAACACCCAGAGGUGGGUGAAGGUUGGAUUGAGGGCUCUCUCUCUCCCUUGUUCUGUUUCAUAGGGAGCAUCUAAAGAACCAACAGGCUAGCUAGUUACGCAGAACCUGGCGGGCUUUCGACUUGCAGUUCCACAAACAACAGAAAUUCCCUCGCCCAUCUCCAUGACACAAAAAGGUUUCUUCAGAAACCAAGGAGAGUCGAGAGCAGUUCUGAGAUCCUGCUCGGGGGUUAAGUCAAAAUCAAAAGUCUCACUGGACACAAGCCAGCCUUUGGAAGCUUUUCCAAAGGGUAGCGCGUUGGAUCCUGGUCAACUGUCUCUCCACCAACAUUGAUAGCAGGGGGAGCCAACAUAUUGUCCUCAUAUUGUGUAGAGACUCAUAACCCUCACCACGCUCAGUCUGCAUGGGCCAAUGGUCAGGGCUGGAGGGCAGUCUGAAUCCUACAUAGUAUGUAAGACACCAUGUUAGUUUCCCAGGAUUUAAGGCAAGGAAAGCACUGCACACUAGCAUCAACCUUACUGGGGAGGACAACUUGUAAUAUGGCCUUGGGUUGAUGAAAGCCCCAUAAAAGCUAGCCC